rfam:Oryza sativa Japonica Group DNA, chromosome 10, cultivar: Nipponbare, complete sequence.
AAAUAGGCAAACCCUGAGUUUCCAUGUCCAACUUUGACUAUCCGUCUUAUAUGAAAUUUUUUUAUAAUUCGUAUUUUCAUUGUUGUUAGAUGAUAAAACAUGAUUAAUAUUUUAUGUGUGACUUGUCUUUUUAAUUUUCUUCAUAAUUUUUUCAAAUAAGACGGACGGUCAAAUGUUGGGCACGAAAAUCAGGGUUUAUA